rnacentral:rRNA from 1 species
UAACGGUAACUUCUGCUCAAUGUUAAGACAUAAAUAAAUAGCCGCAGUACCCUGACUGUGCUAAGGUAGCAUAGUAAUUUGUCUUUUAAUUAAAGGCUGGUAUAAAUGAAGACACAACGAACAAGCUUUUUUUAAACGUACAAUUGAAAUUGAUAUUUACUUCAAAAAGAGUAACUUUCUAAGAAGACGAUAAGACCCUAUAAAACUUCACUCUAAAAAAAUUAAUUUUUACUUAGAAAAAAUUUUAAUCAAGGGUUAAGCUGGGGCGGCACUAAAUAAAACCUCUAAAAAAUUAACAUUAAUUCGCGAUAAUUUAGAUCUUUUUAAGAAUUAGAACAAGUUACUUUAGGGAUAACAGCACAAUUCUUUCGGAGAGAUCUUAUCGAAGAAAGAGACUUGUGACCUCGAUGUUGAAUUGGAGGGCCAGGGUUAAGUAAAAAUAUCCGCUGGGGGUCUGUUCGACCUUUAAUACUCC